rnacentral:rRNA from 1 species
GAUGAACGCUGGCGACGUGCCUAAUACAUGCAAGUCGAGCGAACAGACGAGGAGCUUGCUCCUCUGACGUUAGCGGCGGACGGGUGAGUAACACGUGGAUAACCUACCUAUAAGACUGGGAUAACUUCGGGAAACCGGAGCUAAUACCGGAUAAUAUAUUGAACCGCAUGGUUCAAUAGUGAAAGACGGUUUUGCUGUCACUUAUAGAUGGAUCCGCGCCGCAUUAGCUAGUUGGUAAGGUAACGGCUUACCAAGGCAACGAUGCGUAGCCGACCUGAGAGGGUGAUCGGCCACACUGGAACUGAGACACGGUCCAGACUCCUACGGGAGGCAGCAGUAGGGAAUCUUCCGCAAAGGGCGAAAGCCUGACGGAGCAACGCCGCGUGAGUGAUGAAGGUCUUCGGAUCGUAAAACUCUGUUAUUAGGGAAGAACAAAUGUGUAAGUAACUAUGCACGUCUUGACGGUACCUAAUCAGAAAGCCACGGCUAACUACGUG